rnacentral:tRNA from 1 species
CGGGAUGUAGCUCAGGCUGGGAGAGCACAGCGUUCGGGACGCUGGGGUCGCAGGUUCAAAUCCUGUCAUCCCGA